rnacentral:rRNA from 1 species
GACGAACGCUGGCGGCGUGCCUAAUACAUGCAAGUUGAGCGCUGAAGGUUGGUACUUGUACCGACUGGAUGAGCAGCGAACGGGUGAGUAACGCGUGGGGAAUCUGCCUUUGAGCGGGGGACAACAUUUGGAAACGAAUGCUAAUACCGCAUAAAAACUUUAAACACAAGUUUUAAGUUUGAAAGAUGCAAUUGCAUCACUCAAAGAUGAUCCCGCGUUGUAUUAGCUAGUUGGUGAAGUAAAGGCUCACCAAGGCGAUGAUACAUAGCCGACCUGAGAGGGUGAUCGGCCACAUUGGGACUGAGACACGGCCCAAACUCCUACGGGAGGCAGCAGUAGGGAAUCUUCGGCAAUGGACGAAAGUCUGACCGAGCAACGCCGCGUGAGUGAAGAAGGUUUUCGGAUCGUAAAACUCUGUUGGUAGAGAAGAACGUUGGUGAGAGUGGAAAGCUCAUCAAGUGACGGUAACUACCCAGAAAGGGACGGCUAACUACGUG